UACGGGGGGGGCAAGCGUUGUUCGGAAUUACUGGGCGUAAAGGGCUCGUAGGCGGCCAACUAAGUCAGACGUGAAAUCCCUCGGCUUAACCGGGGAACUGCGUCUGAUACUGGAUGGCUUGAGGUUGGGAGAGGGAUGCGGAAUUCCAGGUGUAGCGGUGAAAUGCGUAGAUAUCUGGAGGAACACCGAUGGCGAAGGCAGAUCUCUGGGCCGUAACUGACGCUGAGGAGCGAAAGCAUGGGGAGCGAACAGG
rnacentral:rRNA from 1 species